AGGAGGGCACUGACCCUCUUAUGAUUGGUCACUUUCACACAGGGACAUCCUUGUACCUUGAUUGACAGCUCUCAUUACAGGAAGCACGGAGUUGGGUUAAAUUACCACCGAAGAAGAGUGGGAAUGAAUUAGAAUGAGUUUUCUAAUAUACAUUAAAUGUCUCUGCACGUAUAAAAUGCUGCGCUGAUCAUAGUUAAAUCAGUUACCUGCGAUGAAUAUACACUCUAGAAACGGUUGGGUAAUUUUGUUGGUUUAUUUUAUUUCUUUUUAAACACUUUUGGGUAGUUUCAAAUUUACCACAUGUUGGGUUAAAUCUGCUGGGUUGCGUCGCUGGGUUGUUUCAGGUCAGCACUGGGGUUAUUUAACGCGCCUUGAAGAUCGCUCCCCAACUGUCAUUUUGGAAGAACAACGGGGCAAAGCCACGGCUUUCAACGGUUUUAAGAAAAGCACAUGGAUACACUUGUGAGAGAAAAACUCUUCGAGUGCAGUCUUAUUGAGGCAUCUAACGGUUGAAACAAACAUGGAAUUCUUUAACUGAGCAGAGUACACAAAACCCCAUCCAAUUGUCGUGGCGAUUUAGAAAUGCUAGCAGAUCUCUCAGGCAUUGAUCAUAAUUAAAGGA